AGUGAACGCUGGCGGUAGGCCUAACACAUGCAAGUCGAACGGCAGCACAGUAAGAGCUUGCUCUUACGGGUGGCGAGUGGCGGACGGGUGAGGAAUACAUCGGAAUCUACUUUUUCGUGGGGGAUAACGUAGGGAAACUUACGCUAAUACCGCAUACGACCUACGGGUGAAAGCAGGGGAUCUUCGGACCUUGCGCGAUUGAAUGAGCCGAUGUCGGAUUAGCUAGUUGGCGGGGUAAAGGCCCACCAAGGCGACGAUCCGUAGCUGGUCUGAGAGGAUGAUCAGCAACACUGGAACUGAGACACGGUCCAGACCCCUACGGGAGGCAGCAGUGGGGAAUAUUGGACAAUGGGCGCAAGCCUGAUCCAGCCAUACCGCGUGGGUGAAGAAGGCCUUCGGGUUGUAAAGCCCUUUUGCUGGGAAAGAAAAGCAGCAGGUUAAUACCCCGCUGUUCUGACGGUACCCAAAGAAUAAGCACCGGCUAACUUCGUG
rnacentral:rRNA from 1 species